rnacentral:rRNA from 1 species
AUGAACCCCCACACCCACCUUCCGUGUUGUCAUCACAAUUGCGGGAGAUUGGCCACUUGCAAGGUUGUUGUGUCGUGGAAGAGUCUCGGCGCCAUUGUCUUCUGGUGCCGCACAUCACCCGUGAAAGUUGUUGGUGUCUUUCUUGUUCUUUAUCCGGGCGUGGCUAAUCAUUGCCUUAUGUGGUGCCACACCUCGCCUGUCUUCAAGGUUUGUAUUCUUGCCUCACAUGUGAUGCCCUUAGAUGUUGCCGGCAACACUCAUCUCCAUGCAAAUGCUUCGUUCUCAUGUGGUGAUAUCCUCCAUGAAAUUAUCCAAUGCUUGUUUUGCUUUCAAUGUCGCCUCGGUAAUGUGAUGCCUUCGGUACCUCGUGAGCGCUCCUCCAUGCAUUGCUCCGAAAUCCUCCUGUUGAACAUAUUCAGGUGGGGACUCCCCUCUCUAGGGCCGGCCCUGAGGGGGGGGGGGCGGCCGUCCCGGGCCCCCAACAUCCAAGGGGCCCCUCGGCAGGACCCAGGUAAUCGAACAGCUCGUGCGUACACGCAUCAUGCAUCGCGCAUCGCGAUCUUCCUUGGGAUUGCGAGACCUAGCGACGAACCCUAUUCCCCAACCCCCAGGCUCCAAUUGAGUUUCCACACCGACGAACUCUGCUCGCCGGUGAGGCCUUGGCUGCGGUCUCCAUCCUCUAGGACGAACUUGCACUCGCGCAUAUCGCAGAGCCGAGGGCCUACUCCUGCCAUGCACGAACCCACAUCACCCUAUUGCCAAAACACAACACGCCAAUCUGACCGAGUAGUCAGCACCCUGCGUUAUCAUGUUGCAUUGUCCAGAAAUUAUCAUGUUGCUCAUACCAUAGUUAUCACGUUGGUCAUGCCAAAGUUACCAAGCCAAACUUUAUUUUUUUCUGAUAUGGCAGAAAUAAGAAAGGAAAGAAACAUCAUUGAGAACAAUGUCACGGUGGUUCUAUGGGUGCUCUACAAGUCAUGGGGAUCGCCACUGGACACUAAGAGGCUUCAAGCUGCUGCUGUUUUGCUUUUUAUCGGUGGGAUUCUCAAAUGCUUUGUCAAGCCGUGGGCUCUCAAGGGCGCCAGCUUUGAUAGCCUUGCUCAUUCUUCUGGCCUUGCUCAGAGGACUACAAAUAGAGAAGAAGACCUCGAAAAAUAUGUUGAGAAAGCAAGGGCUUUCAUUCUAAAUGAAGAUCACUCCUCGACCCAUUGGGUGAAACUCUAUGCACCCGAGAUGCUAUUUAUUGGCUUCGCCUAUCCCUAUUGUGACCGCCUUACAAAUCUGAUGUCAUUUUUUGGGCGUAGAAAUCAAUUAGCUUACGGUUCACUUCAGGAUGGACUCUCCGACAUUUUUAAAGUUCUCUACACGAGAAAGAAGAUCAUAAAUGAGGAUACAUUCUGCGGUAUAUUUGGCUUACUCGUAUUGUUGUUCUGUUAUGUUCCACUAGUUGUGACUUAUUUCAUGAUUGCCGAUUCAAAAGGCAGUGUGGAUAAGACUGUGACAAUUGUGCUAUUGGUUGGCACUGCUUUUCUAGAACGCCUUGCACCAAAAUCUAUGAAUUGUUUUGAAGAGAACGAGUGGCCUACCAUGGUUUCCCAACAUAGCGUUAUAGGGUACUUUGCCCGCAACAGAAGGCACUCCAUGUUGAUGAGAUUCGCAAGAUUCCUUCAAUGCAAAGACUUGCUUGAAAAGUAUUGGCCCAUGGAGCCUAGCUAUUCGUCUGUGGACAUCACAAAGCUAGUCCAUAAAUAUGUUCAAGAUGGGUGGAAGGAGUACAUAAAAGACGCUGAGAGUUAUAGGGAGUUCAAUGACAUAAGGGGUCAGUGGACACUUGUGCGCGAGGGCUGUGACGAAGGCCUGAGCUGGAGCUUAGAGAAGCCGCUCGAUGAGAGUGUUCUUCUCUGCACAUGGCCACAAAUUUCUGCUUUUAUCAGAUGGACAUACCCCCUGAUCAUGAAUUUACUUGCUCAAGGAUUGAUGGAUAUAGGUGAUGAGAGAAAGACAUGGAAGGUGAUCCAAGGCGUGUGGUUGGAGAUGCUCUGCUUUUCGGCUGGCAGAUGUCGAGGGUACUUGCAUGCCAAGUCCCUAGGCUCCAGCGUGGAGUAUCUCUCUUAUGUUUGGCUCCUCCUGGCACAUAUGGGGAUGUAG